GCUGCAGGAGCAGACAUAAGAAUAAACAAGAACAUUCACUGAACCAAGUCUUGGGGUUGAAGGAUGCCCCCAGUGCUGCUGGAGCCCUUGGGAAAAAAUGACCACGGCUAACAGAGCUAAAAAAGAUCUCCUACCAGAAGAGGCAGCACUCAUUGAGCUGAAUCUUGACAAGCUGUGUAGACAUUGGAUUUGCUGAGAAGAUGAAGAAACAAGACAGGGCAGAGGGAGCCCCAGUUUGGAAAGGUGCUCUGGGGGACAGUUCAAAGGUGGUGUGGCUGAAGAAAGGGUCGCGUGGAAUGUAUGGAUGGAAUCAGAUCGUGGGAAGUCUUUCAGACCAGAUUCACGUACUUUACAACUGGCCCAAUAUUUUAUCCAUGGUGGGAAAAAAAAUGAAGUUCCUUAUAUCGGAUUUGUGAGGACAUCACAGUCACUAAAGAUAGUCCUGCUGUCUCCGUCCGCUUCUUCCUGACGUUUCCGCUUAACUGGGAAAUCACAUUUCUGCAUGGCUCAUUUUAUAUCUCUGCCCUCCGUGGAAACAAAACGCAGUCUGAACGGCGGAUUCUGCGGACUUCCUAGUACACUGAUAAGAAAACGGAAAGGAACUGACAUGCAAAGGGACCUAAAAGCCCAUUCUGUGAAAACCCAGGCUCUGGCUGGGGAGAGCAUGAAUGAAGAGUGUGAAAUUGCGAGCCCAGGAGGACAGGAUGGUCGAUUUCAGCUCCAAGGACUACCAGAGACGCUUGGAAUGUAGAAAAUAGGGUCCCCGCCCCAGAGAAGCGGUGGGAAGCUCUGUACAAAUGCAUUCCCUUGCAUGCAAACAAAACACGCCUAUUGACCCUGAUUCAGUUGAGAAAGAAGGAUGGAUGUGGUUUAAGAGAGAAGGUCAAUUUCAGGAUGGGCUCAAAUAUCACAUCUAAACUAAUUUCUUCUGCUCAGCAAACCUGCCCAACAGGCAUCAGGCCCUCAGGCGAUUCAAAGAAAAGAGCAGAAUGCGGGCUUCAGAUUCUCAAACUCAAAUGGACUUCUUCGUCCUGCUAGGACCAGCUGUUUGCACUUGGCAGUUAAUUUACAAGUGUUGCUUUCCUCCUGGUUGUAAAAUGGUUGAUUGGAGAUAGAAAAAGUCUCAGGUAUAGAAUUUUCUCACCCGGUAUUUGGCAGAGUACUGUUGCUAGUCCUAAGGUGAACAAUGGCAUUUGUCUUAUUAAUGGAGGCCUAGUAAGACUUGGGGGAUUGAGCUGGGGUGGGGGGACAGAGCCUAUGGUGGGCGGAUCCCCAAGCAGCUCCAACAUCUGUAGGAGAGAAAGUGCAGCCCCUGGGGAGGAAUCACGGAUGUCACCGUCUUGCAAAGGGAGAGAAGCCAGGAGGCUGAAGUGGGAGCUUGGCAUGUAAAUCAGGAAGGAUAGCUGCAGUGGUACAGAACUGAAAACUCCUUACCAAAGUUGCCCAAGAGAAAACAGGGCUUGUUUUCUCUGCAGAAGGACAAAGAGGAAAUACCUAAUGACACUGUUUUCAAAUAGAAUUUGAAAGUCAUAUAUAAGGAAGCAUGGUGUCCUUCAACUGUAUAUUUCAGUGGAUCUGAGUUUUAGGAUUUGUGAAUCAUUCGCAUGAG